rnacentral:rRNA from 1 species
CCUGGAAUUUUUCGGCCUGCUCACAAAACUUGAGUGACGGCUCACCGGUAAAGAAGCACCGCUCUAACUACUUGCCAGCAGACGCGGUGAUACGUAGGGUGCGAGCGUUGUCCGGAUUUAUUGGGCGUAAAGGGCUCGUAGGUGGUUGAUCGCGUCGGAAGUGUAAUCUUGGGGCUUAACCCUGAGCGUGCUUUCGAUACGGGUUGACUUGAGGAAGGUAGGGGAGAAUGGAAUUCCUGGUGGAGCGGUGGAAUGCGCAGAUAUCAGGAGGAACACCAGUGGCGAAGGCGGUUCUCUGGGCCUUUCCUGACGCUGAGGAGCGAAAGCGUGGGGAGCGAACAGGCUUAGAUACCCUGGUAGUCCACGCUGUAAACGGUGGGUACUAGGUGUGGGGUCCAUUCCACGGGUUCCGUGCCGUAGCUAACGCUUUAAGUACCCCGCCUGGGGAGUACGGCCGCAAGGCUAAAACUCAAA